UACGUAGGGUGCGAGCGUUAAUCGGAAUUACUGGGCGUAAAGCGUGCGUAGGUGGUUCGUUGUGUCUGUGGUGAAAGCCCCGGGCUCAACCUGGGAACCGCGCUUGAGACUGGCACGCUCGAGUUCGGGAGAGGAUGGUGGAAUUCCCAGUGUAGAGGUGAAAUUCGUAGAUAUUGGGAAGAACACCGAUGGCGAAGGCAGCCAUCUGGACCGACACUGACGCUGAGGCGCGAAAGCGUGGGGAGCAAACAGG
rnacentral:rRNA from 1 species